rnacentral:misc_RNA from 1 species
AGAAAGAAAAGGCAGAGAAAGAGAGUGCUAACAAGAAAACUGAAGGGAACCAGAAGGGUUGAAUUCAUCAAUUGCACUUGAUGAGGACAAUCUUGUUGUGGAAUAAUCAUGAUUGUGGAAUAAUCAUAAAAAAUAAAGAUGUGACUUGACUCGUGACUUGUGAGAUAUGGUCUUUGUAUAUAGUGAGGAUCUUGCUAAUGUUUCUUGAACUGUUGUAAACUCGAAAUUGUAAGAGUUGUUUAUGUGGUUGUUUAUCUUCUAAAAACCUAAAAUCUUUCUUUUCCUUGUAUUGAUUUGAGCUUUUACAAUUUCUUUCUUUUGCUAUCUAAGUAUCUGAACAAAGAAAUGUAUUAAUAUGAAAUUAGAUAAAAACUACAUAUGUGUAAUAUUGAUAACCCCAUAAAUCCAGCUAUAUGUGUUAUUUUAUGUGGUAUAAGUUUUGGACUUCGUUGCCUUUGGCAGUAUGGACUAGUAUAAAUUUUGCCUUUUGUGAUAGAUUUGUGAGAUACUCAGUUUUUUAUCGUAGAUUUGUGAGGUAUUCGGAAAAUACACUGAGUUAGGGUUGGAAAGUUUUAUAUGGUUGUGUUAUUUUUAUUAUUAUUAUUUUCCAUCAUGAUAUUUUUAUGUCUGUUUUAGGUUAUAUAGAAGAUUAAUCGCUUUGGAAAUUGUGACUGUUCCUUUCAAUAAUGCCUUGUUCAAGGAUCGAAUCUAAGUUCUGGCCUUGAGAACGCAAUAAGCCUUUCCAUUGCACUUAACGCUUGCACUUUUUAGUCAAGCAGCCAAGUGAUUAGAAGCUUUUUAAUUGGUCGAGUGGACUAAUCCAACGAAUUGCAGGUUUUUAUCCUUGGGGAGAAAGUUGAACUUCUGGUAGACAAAACAG